rnacentral:lncRNA from 1 species
UAGUUCGUAGAGAAGAAAACCAGUGCAAUGGAACCUGCUUGCUUUGACUGGUGUUGAUACGGGAAAUUAACCGUUUUGAAUCUAAUUUUGCAUUUGACCAGGUAUAGAUGUUUUGCCCUCUCACGAAGCAUAAUUAGAUACAUCAAAUAUGCACAGCCAACAUCAUAGUUUUUUUUCCUCAGCAAGCCAACAUCAUAGUUUUCCAUGUUAUAGACAACUAAUCUUUACUAGACUGAAUUUUCGUACACAAGUUGAUAUUUUUUUAUGAAAAAUUAUAUAACUAUUUAAAUAAAAAAAUAGAUGUGCGAAUAAAAUUAAGUUAAAAAUAUAAAAAAAAUAUUAUUUUAGAAAUUUUAUUUUGAUUUUACAUUUCUCUCUGAACGAUAUGUAUAUUCUUGUCUUGUUUUAUAUAGAUAAACAAUUUGAUCUUUUAUAAAAUUCUUUAUACAAGGGAAAAUCAUAAAACUACUUACCAACCAUUCCCACACAACCUAGAUGUGGUGGUGUUAAUUAAACUGACUUGCAUUAUUUUGGUGGACCUGGCUUUAUAUUGUACGGUUUGUGGGUCAAAAAAAUAUUUUUCCUUUUCAAUUUAUUUAUGAACCUUUAAUUUUAAUUAGUACCAAUUACUAGUUUUCGUAUUUUUUUUCACUGUGUUUUUCAUUAAUUAAGUUUUACAACCUUAAAUUUGUAAUUUGCUCUGAUUAACUAGAAUCCACAAUCCAGGUCAUAUCUUGUGGCCUUUACAUGUUUUUAGAAUGCAAUGAUGAUGCUCAGUCUAGAAUAUUGUAUGAUUGUUUAUAUAUAAUCAUAAUAUUAAUAUGAUUUUUAAAAUAAUUAUUAUAAAAAUAAAUAAAUUUAUUAUACAUUAUGAUUUCAUAAUAAUCAUAAUUGGAUAAUCAACUUUAUAAACUCUCAAUAUAUAAUCAUUCUUCUCAUGUUUGUAUGAGAAUAAAUUUUGUUUUGUCUCUUAAAAAAAAGACUAGAACACUUAUAACUAGACUAUCCGCAUGGUUCAAUCAUUAAGGACUUUGCGUGAAUUUUAAUGUACAAAAAUACCACCAGGCAUGUGAAUAAUUAGUGUGAGAUUAUUCCAGUUUAAGUAAAAGUCUUCAUUUCGAUCUCCUGGGAUACCUUUGGUUUAGACUUUUUUUUUUAUAACAAAAAUAAGAAUUGAUACUUAUAAUAGAGGCAAGAGAAUAAACAAGAUUGUUCUUCGGUGGUGUUUUAAGGGGAAUUCAGAUUUUUUUGUUAAUGGAAAUGAAAGAAGAUAAUAUAAUGCAGUUCCGUAGAGUGAGGAAAAAGAAGGGUUUAGUUAAGAAAAAAUUGGAGGAGAGAGAUGGGGGCAUUGAAUAGAUUAGAUUAAACUAAAAUUCGUUAUACUGUCACAACAACAUUCUGAAUCGUGAUGGAGAAAGGACCAAGCUUGUUAGACUUUGAGGCUCUCUGCCCAUUGCAUUGCAACCCCACCAUACCAUACCAACACUCUAUUCUGCAAUCUAUAGAAGAUGGAAUUUUAGCAUCCCAACGUAACUCCUAUAGAUAACCGUGCACACCUUCUUUGAAAGACCAAAAAGAUUCGCCCUUUCCAUUUCAGUGUUUCUUCUUCUCCAUCACCAAUAUAACCCCUUUUACCUUUCUCAACAAUUUCCGCCUCAACCAUUAUUAAUAUUGCUCUUGUUCUCAAAAAAAGAAAAAGACCAUGCUAUGCUAGCCUCUCAUUUUUACUACCACUUCCACCUUUUUGUUCUUGUUGUCUUUGUUUGAAGCUUCUCUUUUGUGAAGAUGGGCUUGUUGGAGCGGUUGGAAUGGGUGAAUGCUUAUGGCAAGAAGCGUUGCAGGAGCUUGUUUUGGAGGGUGCGUGCUGCGUUGAAGAAGGCUCUCAAGAAUGGGGGCAAGCAGAGACUCAAGUUCCAAUACGAUCCUUCGAGUUAUGCACUCAACUUUGAUGAUGGUUGUUGCGCGGCCAAGAAAUUCAUUGGAGAUGCACGACUCAUGGAGCUCACCGACAUUCACAACAACACCUUGGUUUAUGUGCUUUGGGUCAAAACCAACUGAACUGCUUCUUCAAUUAAAUUUUGUCAUCUUUGCUACUACUACUUAAGUUUCUCUUUUUAAUGUUUAUGGCCUCGUAGAUAAGAAAAGUAUUGCAGAGUUUUUCAAGGAACUUGUUCUCUUCCCUUGUGCUAGUGCAUACUACCUUAUAUUCUUAACUUCUGUCCUAAGCUACAACACUCGUUAGUCUACAUUCUUCGCUAAUUAAUGUCUUGACCCAAAAUUAAAAAGCUACAAUAUUACAACACAAGAUUAAACAGUAUCUGUUGGCUAAAU